rnacentral:tmRNA from 1 species
GGGGUUGACCGGAAUUGACAGGAUGGAAGAUUUGUGUGUAAGCAUGCAGGGCGUUGUGGAGAGUGCCCGUUAAAGAAAAUCCUCAAACAACAAACGGCGAAAAUAACUACGCUCUUGCUGCUUAAUUAUAUCGGAGAUAUAAUGGCCUAGUUCCAGCUAAGAGUUGGAAGCGAGAUGUUUCCCGGAAGCGCAAUCCUGCCGCGUCCGAUCCGGAAGCACAGAAAAGUGGGAUUAAGGUUUGUAAUGCUUUUAAUCAAGCCCGACAAUUAAAAAAGCUAAGCUGUUGUUAGCCUGUUUGUGGGCAGACCUCAGUCGAAAAUUAAACACAAAAUAAGCAUGUAGAAAGCGCAUCAGGUCCCAUGUUUGGACGAGGGUUCGAAUCCCUCCAGCUCCACAG